rnacentral:lncRNA from 1 species
UAGUGCCGGCAUGGGAUCAUCCAUUAGGUCAGUAUUAGAAAAACUCAAGUGGGUUAGACUAUGAGGAAAUAGGUAUUCAGCAAGGACGAUUUUGGAGAGCCGUGGCAUCUUGCUUUCAUUCGCCAACUUCAAUCACUCGAGACAGCUCAAUCUGCAGAGACUUUUCGACAGCAAAGAUUGAUCAUAACUUAAAUCUCCCCGUAUUCAGAGAUUUUGAAGAUUAGGUAGCCUGCCCAAUAGAUCUUCAGUACAGCAGCAAGGGUGCAAGGCUGAAAUGAAAUUUAGAUUUUCUAGAGAGCCACAGUAUUUUCCUGGAUGCGCAGGAAGUGUGAUUGACCCAAAAUUUAGAUGUCUGAGUUUGUUCAUCUUCCAAAAUUCAUCUGCCGUAUGAUCUAUAUAGCUAAAGGGCAUGUCUAGGGUGUAGAGGUUCAGAAGAUUGCUUAAUAAUGAGGAAGGCAGGCUUUUGAGGGAAGGGAUAUUCAACUUCGGAUGAGAACAAGAGAUCCCAAGUCCAAUAAUGAGGAAGGCAGGCUUUUGAGGGAAGGGAUAUUCAACUUCAAAUAUCUCAAAAGAAAUAAAUUUUCAAUUCCGGAUGGAUACUGGAUGAGAACAAGAGAUCCCAAGUCCAACACUCUGAGAAGUUUGAACAUUCCACAAAUUUUCUCCCAAUCCAUGGGGUCAAAGUGGCGGCUUUCUGGAGAACAGCACAACAAAGAAUGCAGUUGCGAGUCAUAAUAAUCUAAGUAAGCAAAAUCUUCCUGUCUUUUAACAGCGUUUAACCGUUUGACUUUUUUUGGUGAUUUACCUUUUGGAUCCAUGAAAGGGGAAACGAUGAAUUCCACCAUAUAAUGAACUGUGAGAAGCACGGGACGCCAACGACCAGGAAUAGAGCAUGUGUUGAUAGUGCCUCCGGCUUUUCUCUUCUUUGCUUCAACAAAGCCUUCCUUGAUAAGUUGUUCCAAGUAACUCUCAGCAGUUGCCUCACUAUUGUCUGGAAUGAAACCUUCAGCUAUCCACAACUGAUAUAACUGCCUGGUGGAUAUCUCUAGGUGUGCGGCAAACACAGAUAAGUAGAGAAAACAAAGUUUCAAGCAAAAAGGUAAGCUGCAAUAUUUGAAGUGCCGAAGCACAAGGGGUAUCCCCACUGCUUUCCCUAUAUUUUCUUCUAAUGAGAUGUUUCCAUGAUAUAAGAUGAGGAAAGUCCAUCCAUUAUAUGUAGCUCUCAAUGGUCCUCCAGUGAGCACUAAAUCAAGCCCAAUGUUCUCUCCAUCUUCGAGCUUAAAUGAGGUGACCAUCUCAAUUUGAGUGAGUGUUAUUAAUACUCUACUUCUAUUAUGAUUAUCCGGAAGUAUUUCUCGAAUAACAUCCCACACACCAAUGGUCCAUACAUCCUCAAUCACAAUCAAAUACCGCUUGGUCAUUAGAUAUUCAUGAAGAAUUAUUUUUUUCAUUUCAUAAUUUUUAUCCAUGAUUUCACUCAACCUAGAUGAAGGCAUCAGAAACUUAAUAACGAUAUCUAAUAUUUGGUCAGCGUAACUAAUAUCUGGAAUCCAAGCGUGACAAUCAAAAUAAUGCUUCACAUAACUACUGUUGUAAGCCUCUGUGGCGAAAGCCGUCUUGUCCAACCCAAUGCUAUCAAGUAUGGCCACCACGGAAAGCUGAGGUGGUCCCUCGAUCAAUAGAUCUAACAACUCCUCCAUUCUAUCAUCUAGACCCACCGUGUCCCUACUUUUAGAAGAUGAAGAUAUACCGGCUUCAGAUGCGAUCAAUGAUUAUGGAAUCCAUGUGCUUAAGUUGUUGCAUCCGUUGCUUAAUAUCAGUGAUUCUACUUUGGAGUCCUUGCAGAGCAUCAAAAAUGUCCUCGCUGCAGCCGCUUUGACUCUUCUGUUGAGUGAUGCUGUUGAUGAAUGUGUCAAUGACCUUCUCAGAUUCACAGGUAAAGCAAUUGAUUUCGUCCAUAACGGUCGCCAGAUCUGGGUUUCCAAUUUCAUCUUCUACUAUUUUUUGCAGCAGAAUGUAGGAGAUGUCAUAUUCAAAUUCACUCAACCAAGAAGUAACAAUUUCAACCUCCGCAUGAAGGUUCUGAAUAGGUUGUUUUGCAGCAUCAGACAACGUGACUUCUUCACCAGCUAACACCCGUCCCAGCCUCUCGGAAAAUAGUCUGAAGUUGAUGUCCAUAUCUCCUCCUCUCUCAGAUUCACCCUGAAAUCAGUCCUGUAGCAUGCAAAGAAAUAAUUAAAAGGAAAACAUGCUUUAAAGCUCUCAAUUCAAACAUUAGUGUUGGCUCCCGUACCUCCCUUCUCUUAGCUAGUUCUCCAGUUAAGAAGUUGAAUCAAGGUCGUUGACUCUCAAAUUAUAACAGAUCAAAGCAGAAUCUUACAAUACUCUUGUCUUCCAUAUGGUGUAAAAAGAAUAAAGCAGAGAAAAAUAAACAGGACAUCUCAACUUAUGGUUGGUUAUUUUUUUCACUGAAUUUUCUGAUUUUAAUUGAAUCAAUUACUAGUUGUGACUCGAGCUCAAUAGAGUUGAAGAGAAAGAAAAAGAAAAAUGGAGUCCUUCUUAUGUCCCUUUUAAGUGAAUAUAUUUAGGACGGGUACCAUAGGGCACUUUCAUCGUGCUACAAGUGGUUUUUAUCAUUUGGAUCCUUGAUCACGUUACGCUUGUUGACUAUGAAGCAUUGCUGCCUUAAUUAUAGAGAUGCUGAGGAGUUUUUUACUGACCAGAUAUUUAUGCAUAUAUGAUUUUCUAUUGUUUCCUUGUUCUCGAGCUGGAAGACAAAUAAUUUUUUCUUGUUCUCUUAUCUUAUUCAAGAUUUGUCAUUCUAAGUGAGCUAAUUUUACCAAAACUAUCUUUUUCUUUUAUUAGCUCACGUGGGAUAGUCGAGAUGUCACUUUUUUUCACUGAUUAAGGGUAAAAGCUUGUUUAGUCCCUAUAUUAUGAGGUUAGUGUCCAUUUAGUCCCUGUAUUUUUAAAAACACCUCAAAAUGUCCCUGCUACUAAAUAUUGACACUUAUGCCAUUAUUUUUAACUUGUUUUUACAAUAUUAGAUUUUUACAAUAAUGUUUCUUUUUUGGAUAUUAAUAAAAAAUUAAAUUAUCAAAUUAAACUCAAAAAUAAAAUAAAAACAAAAAAGGUAUAUAUUAAUUUUUGUGGAAGCUCACGUAUGUCUAAAAAAUUAAUAUCAUAAAAAUUAUAUUAUCAAUUUUUUAGAAAAAUUAAUAUUUUAACUCAAGAGUGUGUUUCACAAAAAUUAAUAUAUAUUUUUUGGUGUUAAACUGGUAAUUUAUUUUUUUUCUUUUUAAUAAUGUCUAAAAAAAUUAUUAUAAUAGGGUUAUUUUUUCUUUUUAAUAAUGUCUAAAAAAUUAUUAUAAUAGGACAAUAUUAUAAAAAUAAGUUAAAAGGAACAAAAGAUAAUGGCAAAAGUGUCAAUAAUUUAAUAGUAGGGAUGGUUUGAGGUAUUUUUAAAAAUAUAGGGACUAAACGGGCACUAACUUUAAAAUAUAGGGACUAAACGAGCUUUUACCCCUGAUUAAUUUCGAACUUAUUAUUCUUGAGCCUUAUGUCAGCUUUCAACUGGUCCAUAAAUAUCCUUUUUAAUUUAGCUCCAAACGAAUCCAAUAACCUCUUUGAAAGCGAAAAAUUAAAAAUUUAUUCAAUCAUUCCAUGUUAAGGAAAUUAGCCAAGCAAUGGAAUUAAUGCUAACAAACCAAAUUAAAUUUCUACAUUUUUUUGGGCCUAUACCAAAUUUCAUCACUUAAUUUAAGUAGAACAAGUACGUUGUAGCUGCUUACUCUUUACAUCUAGCUGGAGCAAUGAAGACCGGUUAUUAGACGGAUGUGGAUGAAAAUCGUGUUAAAAGACUCAAAAUAUUUUAUGUAUCCAUUUCGUAUCAAAGCUUCACUGCAAAACAAAUCGUAGAGGCUCACCCAUAUGCUGUAGGAUAUGCUACCCAUAAUUGCUUUCUCGAAUGCAUGGACACACACACACACACACACACACACACACAAAAUACGGUAUUUUUCUAGCCUCUUAUUGCUUCCAGAAGAACGUGGCUUCAACUUAUUGAAUCCAUUAGAGGGACACGUCAGUGCAGCAGUGACAAAAAUGCCUCUAUAAAUGGCAGUUCUUGUAAUCAUUUUGCUACCAUUCUUCGUUCCAGUCCCACGCACAUAGCCCAAACUUCAACUUUCUUUGCGUAAGUAAUGAAGUGCAAUUCGGUCUCGGUAAUAUAAAUUUUUUUAAUAAUUCUCUGUCUAUCUCGUCAUUUGUUAAUUCAUUGUUAUUACAUAAUUCUUCAAAUAAUUCUUCAUUUAAAUAUUUUUUAGGAUCAGGAUCAUUAAAUAUUAAGUCUAUAAUAUAUUUCAUAUACCUUGGAAUGAGAAAAAUAUCACAUCUAUGACGCUGGUUUUACCGAGUUCAAAUAAGCCUCAAGCAUUGGGCAGGAUUUUCUUCUUCCACUCAAUGUCUAGACACCUCUUUAACAUCAUAAUAAACUAUUUAAAAAAAAAAGAAAAGAAAAAAAGAGCCAAAGGAGGAAUAUUACUAGAAUCUUUUUACUGCCUAAGUGGAUAUGUCUACCGUAGUGCACACAAUUCAUCAUAGGAAAAAAAAGAAAAAAAGGAAAAGGCCUUAUUGUAAUGCCUAAGAGGAUCUUAGGAUUUCUUCACAAGAACAUUUACUAAGAGAGUCAACCAAGUAUGAAGUUCAUGAAUAAUCAAUCUUUUGUGAAAAUAAACCAAACAUAUUGAGUGUCAAACAUGCCUUAAAAACAGGAUUUCAAAGCAAGCAACAGAGCAAAGACAGACAAUACAUUCCACUGAAUCCAAGACUAGAAAGGCUAUCACAAAUAUUAUUUAUUUUUUUGCACACAUUUAGCCAACCAUGGCUGAAGCACCAAUCAAUCAACUCUCAACUGAAAAUCUGAAACAAAAUUUCUUAUUUAUGAGUAGAAAGAAGAUACAAAGAAACCAAAAAAUGUCCACUGUAGCAUCAGGAUAUUUGCAUAGACAGCAGAAAGUAAAGACUGAAAGGAUUCUGGUUGAAACUGGAACUCGUUCUGUAGUGAUGAUAAUUUCUGCUCUGAUUUCACCUACACAAGUCAUUGUGACAAAAAAGUUUUAUAUUACUCUUUUUUUUUUUUACUCUUAACUAUCAAAACAAAUGAACGCCAAUGUCUGCUAGGCCCAUAGUUGAACAUACAAGGGUACAUAAGUCUCCACUGCUGCUAAAGAGGGCUUAAUGAUUGGGGUGAGCAUCGAAAACUCUAGAGGCUACUUAAUGCUGAGACAAAUUAGAAGAAAACAAUUUUAUAACCAUUUUUAUAUUGAAGAGAAGGGGGCAAAAAAGUACAUGAAAUUGGAUGAAUAAUUAAAAGUGGAAGAAAUUGGAUAAAAAGAGAAACUUACAUCAAAUUCAAUGAGGGCUAAUCAAAUUCCGUAAGGAUAUAGCCGAACGCCAUGCUGCUCCUUAUCCUCGAAUUCCCGUAGCUUUUGUCUCAGCUCCGGCUGAGGCCACCAACACUCGAAAUUGUUUAAGCUCCUUAUGCACCAAAGCUGUUCAGGAAUCUUUUUCAAGUAAGCACAGGGGUUGAUAAUCAAGUAUUCUAGUUUUGGCAUGGCUGCAAUCCCCAUAGUCCACUCCUCUAGCCAUAACAUUGAUUUUAGGUGCAAUACCUUGAGGUUCGGAAACCCAUAAGAGCCACAAGUCAGCUUUCUACCUGAAUAUGAGUUUUGCUUCAGUUUGAGCACUUGAAGAAGCGGCAGCUUUUCUAGUGCCGGCAUGGGAUCAUCCAUUAGUUCAGUAUCAGAAAAACUCAGGUGGGUUAGACUAUGAGGAAAUAGGUAUUCAGCAAGGACUAUUUUGGAGAGCCGUGGCAUCUUGCUUUCAUUUGCCAGCUUCAAUGACUCAAGAGGAGCUCAAUCUGCUGAGGCUUUUGGACAACAAAGAUUGAUAAAAAAUUAAAUCUCCCCGUAUCUGGAGAUUUUGAAGAUUAGGCAGUCUGCCCAAUAUAUCUUCAGAACAGCAGCAAGGGUGCAAGGCUGAAAUGAAAUUGAGAUUUUCCAGAGAGCGGCAAUAUUUUCCUGGAUGCGCAGGAAGUGUGAUUGAGCCAAAAUUUAGAUGCCUAAGCUUGCUCAUCUUCCAAAAUUCAUCUGCUGUGUGAUCUAUAUAGCUAAAGGGCAUGUCUAGGGUGUACAGGUUCAGAAGAUUGCUUAAUAAUGGCGCAGGCAGGCUUUUGAGGGAAGGGAUAUUCAACUUUAAAUAUUGCAAAAGAAAUAAAUUUUCAAUUCCGGAUGGAUAUUGGAUGAGAACAAGAGAUCCCAAGUCCAAUACUCUGAGAA